rnacentral:snRNA from 1 species
GGAGGGGAGGGUGAUCUGGCUGCAACAUCUGCCACCCCACUGAUGGCUAGGGUUGAUUUGUCUGAUCAGACUGGUUAGGUGGGUGUCCCCAUCCUCCCUCAUCGCUCCAUGUGUGCCCCUCCAGAUGCUGCGGACAACCUUCCCCAUCAGAGGAGGGCCGUUCUUUGGUCAAGGGUAUAUGUGUAGCCAUACUCCUCUGCUAGAACCUCCAAACAAGCUCUCUCAAAGUAAUUAUUUCAAAGGAGGGAUUGAGAGUUUCAUCCUCUAUGACAAAGUUAAUUUUUCCUAAAAAAUU